AGUCCUGUAGCUCAAAGGUAGAGCGAUCGCCUUACAAGCGAGGGGUUGUGGGUUCGAUUCCUACCAGGACUA
rnacentral:tRNA from 1 species